AAAAAUGUUUCAAGUAUGUUUUAUUUGUUUAUUGUGAUGUGUUUAUAAUAUGUAAAUAAAUUUAUUACUUACAUUUAAUCACCUAAGUGCAAAUCAAAACUAUGCAAAUGUUACAUAAUUUCAUAAAAUUAUUUCAUAAAAUCACGUUUUCCAGAAUGAUGAUCUCUUACAAUUUUACUUCUUUAUGAUAUAUUUUAAACUGAUGAAAUUUUAUGGAAUAAUUUCUGAUAUCUUAUUUCUUCCUAUUUUUUUCAUUUAUAUUUUCUAUAUGCUAAUAAAAACUGUCUUCCAAAGAGGCUCUACUUAGGUUGGAGCCUGUGUGUCUUCUUUGCCUUUUUCAUUUCAUUCAUUUCCACAUCUAUUCAAUGGCCUGUUCUCUCCAUCAACCUCUUUAGAGGCUUUUAUAUGUUGCCUCCUUUUUAGUUCUUCUGUCAAAACCUUUGUUUAGACACUAUUGGCAAUCCCUAACCACACUCCUUUUUUUUAGGAGCAUUAAAAUUUUUUCCUGUUCUUCAUAGAAAUUGAGUGGCAGUUGGGGGUAUAUUAUCCCAAUAUUAAAAUAGUAUUUGCCCAGAACACAUUGGAAUACUUGAAUCCUGCCCAAGAUCAAUCCCACCCAUGCCUGCCACACCCCUCACCCUGUGUUUGCUAGGUUCCUGUGGAAGAUGCAUGUAUGAAAUGACUAAUGACAAAUGGAAGGGUGUAUUGCUUUUAUUAGGUGGAGCUUUGAACUAAAACCUUAGUGCAGAGCUUUAUAGUAGGUGGGGCUGGCCUAUGGGGAAGCCUUCUUUCCUCCGAAAAAAAUAGUCUCGUACCAUUGCAGACUGGGAGGGCAGCUUAAUUUCAUCCCCUGAAGUCUAAACUUGAGUUAGAUCUGACCACUGUUAUGUGAGGCUAGGCUGACCCUAUGCAAAUCCCUAGUGCCAGGGGAUGGAACUAUGGAGAGGUAUUGCUUUCAAACAUGUAUAAUCUUCCCCAGGAUUGCUACUCCAGAGAAAGGAGCUCGAUCAGUGAGUGACCUAUAAUCUGACCAUUCAGAUUAGCUCGUGGGCCCUGAAUUUCUGGAAGUUCAUACUCUACAACUGUACCUAGAUUAUUCAUAACAGUGCAUGACUUUAAUAUAAUUUUGAUCAAAUAUUUUAAAGUUCCUCUUGACCUGGUUCCAGCUAAGCUAUCAUUAAACAAAUAUUUCAUCCAAUAAAUAUUUAUUGAGGGCCUACUAUUUGCCAGAUACUGUUCUAUGCACCUGGGAUGUAUCUGUGAACAAAACAGACAAAAAUCCCUACUUUCUUAGCUUUCAUUCUCAAGGACAGACACUAAUAAUUAAAUAAAAAUAAGAAAUUAAAUAAUGUGUUAGCAGGUAAUAAAAGUCAUGAAGGAUACAUAAAAGAGGAUAAGGGAAGUUGGGAGUACUGGAGCUGGGGUUACAGGAGUAAGUGCAGGUUGCAGUUUUAAACAAGGAUGUCAAGGUAGGCCUUGUUGAGGAGAUACUUGAGUGGACUGGAGGAGGUGAGGGUUAGCCAAGUAGAUAUCUGGGAGAAUAACAUUCUAGACAGCCAGUGCCAAGGCCCUAAGAUGGGAGUAUGACUGAUAUGUUUAGGAAACAACAGAAUGGCCAGUGUGGCCAAAGUGCAGUGGUCAAUGUAGGAAGUAAUAGGAGGUGAAGUUAAAGAGGUAACAGGCAUGUAAAUUAUAUAGGAUCUUGUAGGCCAUAUUGGGAACUUUGGCUUUUAUUCUGAAGGAAACGGGGAGCCACGGAAGGAUUUUGAGGAAGACGCAUGAUCUGACUUGAUGUGUUUUUUUUGUUUUGUUUUGUUUAUUUUUUAUUUUUGGCUGCGUUGGGUCUUUGUUGCUGCACACGGGAUUUCUCUCUAGUUGCAGCGAGCAGGGGCUACUCUUUGUUGCGGUGCAUGGGCUUCUCAUUAAGGUGGCUUCUCUUUGUUGCAGAGCACGGGCUCCAGGGUGCGCGGGCUUCAGUAGUUGUGUCACGCGGGCUCAGUAGUUGUGGCGUGCGGGCUUAGUAGCUCCACAGCAUGUGGGAUCUUCCUGGACCAGGGAUUGAAACGUGUGUCCCCUGCAUUGGCAGGCGGAUUCUGAACCACUGCACCACCAAGGAAGUCCCGUGACUUGAUGUUUUAAAAGGAUCACUUUGCUUAUCAAAUUAUACAUGUUAAAUAUGUACAGUUAAUUGUCUAUCAGUUAUACCUCAAUAAAGCUGUUAAAAAAUAAAAUGAUCAUUCUGGUGGCAGGUCAAGAACAGAUUGUACAGAGCAAGGGUAGAAAACACAGAGACCAUUUAGAAGGCAAUCACCAUUAUCCAGGUUGAGAGAUGGUGGCGAUGGGGACCAAGAUCAUAAUAGUGGAAGAGGUGAGAAGUGGUCAGUAGAGCCUGAAAGUUUCCCGAUGAUUUGGAUAUAGCAUGUGAGAGAAAGAGAAAAAUCAAAGGUGUGUUCAUGGUUUUUGGCCUGGAACGGGAAGGAUGGAGUGGCCAUUGACUGAAAUGGGGAAGACUGCAAGUGGAGCAGGAUUACACUAGAUGUGAACAAGGUGGGAGGUUCCCAAGUUCAGUGUUGGAUGUGUCUUUGGACAUCAAGUGGAGGUGUUGAGUUAGUAUUUAAAUACAAGUCUGGGUUGGAUAUAUGAGUGGAGUCCAGAGAGAGACUGAGCCAGAGACAUAAAAUUAGUAAUUUCUCAGUAGAGAUGACAUUUAAAGUCAUGAGACUAGAUGAGAUAACCAAGGAAGUGAGUAUAGACAGAGAAGAACACCAGAGACUGAGUUCUGGGCCACACAAUACUAAGAGGCGGGCUUCCCUGGUGGUGCAGUGGUUGAGAGUCCGCCUGCCGAUACAGGGGACACGGGUUCGUGCCCCGGUCCGGGAGGAUCCCACAUGCUGCGGAGUGGCUGGGCCCGUGAGCCAUGGCCCCUGAGCCUGUGCGUCCGGAGCCUGUGCUCCGCAAUGGGAGAGGCCACAACAGUGAGAGGCCCGCAUAACGCAAAAAAAAAAAAAAAAAAAGGAAAAAAAAAAUGAAAAGGCAACCUGUGGAAUGGCAGAAAAUAUUUGUAAAUCAUGUAUCUGAUAAAGGGUUAAUUAUCCAAAAUAUAUAAUGAACUUAUACAACUCAGUAGUAGAAAAAACAAAUAAUCCAAAGGACCUGAAUAGAUAUUUUUCUAAAGAAGGCAUACAGAUGGCCAACAGGUACAUGAGAAGGCGCUCAACAUCACUAAUCAUCGGGGAAAUGCAAAUCAAAACCACAGUGAGAUAUCACCUCACACCUGUUAGAAUGGCUCUUAUCAAAAGGACAAGAGGGGCUUCCCUGGUGGUGCAGUGGUUAAGAAUCUGCCUGCCAAUACAGAGGACAUGGGUUCAAGCGCUGAUCUGAGAAGAUCCCACAUGCCACGGAGCAACUAAGCCCGUGCGCCACAACUACUGAGCCUGCGCUCUAGAGCCUGUGAGCCACAACUGCUGAGCCCAAGUGCCACAGCUACUGAAGCCUGCAUGCCUAAAGCCCAUGCUCUGCAACAAGAGAAGCCACCGCAAUGAGAAGCCCGCAUACCGCAACGAAGAGUAGCCCCCACUCGCGCAACUAGAGAAAGCCCGCACACAGCAACAAAGACCCAACGCAGCCAAAAAUCAAUCAAUCAAUCAAUAAAUUUAUAAAAAAAAAAAGACAAGAGAUAACAAGUGCUGAUGAGGAUGUGGAGAAAAGAGAACCCUGUGCACUACUGGUGGGAAUGUAAAUUGGCGCAGUCACUAUGGAAAACAGUAUGGAGGUUUUUCAGAAAAUUAAAAAUAGAGCUACCAUAUGACCCAGCAAUAUUUCUGAAGUAAAUGAAAUUACUGUCUUGAAGAGACAUCUUUACCCCCUAGUUCUUCACAGCAUUACUUGCAACAGCUGAGACAUGGAAACAUGGAAGUGCCUGUCAACAGAUGAAUACAGAAAGUGGCGUAUUACUCCCCCCUCCAACACACACAAAGGAAUAUGAUUCAGCCAUAGAAAAGGAAGGAAAUCCUGGGGACUUCCUUCCUCCAGUGGUUAAGACUCCACGUUUCCACUGCAGGGGGCACAGUUCCAAUCCCUGGUUGGGGAAGCAAGAUCCCACUGCCAUGCUGUGGCGUGGCCAAAGAAAAAAAAUGGAAGGACAUUUGCAACAACAUGGAUGAACCUUGAGGGCAUUAUGCUAAAUGAAGUAAGUCAGACAGAGAGAAAGACAAAUACUGUAUGAGCUCACUUAAAUGAGGAAUGUUAAGACAUAGAAGCAUCGAAACUAAACUCACAGGAACAGAGUAAGUUGGUGGUUGCCUGAGUUGGGGUGGCGGGGAAAUGGGUGAAGGUGGUUAAAGAGUACAAACUUACGGUUAUGAGAUGAAUAAGUUCUGGGGAUCUAAUGUGCAGCAUACACUGUAGCUGGCUGUAGUUAGCAAAAGUUAACAAGUCCCCUACAUACGAACCUUCAAGUUGCGAACUUUCAAGGAUGCGAAUGUGCAUUCCUUCAGCGUCACGUGUGAGUGAAAUUGCAGCUUGCCCUCUGUCUCCUGUUGCUGACGAUCCUUCAGCUCUACCAUCUCCCACCUUUUCUCCCUCCUCCAGUCAGUAACUCUUCUUGCCUGUUCACUCGAUGCCAGCCCCUGGAUGCCGGCUGUUGUACUGUACUACUGUACUUUUCAAGGUACUGUACUGUAAGAUUAAAAAUAUUUUCCUUAUUUUUUGUGUUUUUUUAAUGUAUUAUUUGUGUGAAAAGUAUUAUAAACCUAUUAUAGUAUGGUACUAUAUAGCCGAUUGUGUUAGUUGGGUACCUAGGCUAACUUAGUUGGACCUAACAAACAAAUCGGACUACAAACGUGCUCUCACUGUGGAACUUGUUCGUAUGUAGGGGACUUACUGUAUUGUAUACUUGAAAGUUGCCAGGAGAGUAGAUCUUAAAAGUUGUCACCACAGACACACACAAGGGCACACACACACACACAAAAGGUAACUUUAAGUUGAUGGAUGUGUUAAUGAACCUUAUUGUGGUAAUCAUUUUGCAAUAUAUACCUAUAUCAUCACAUUGUACACUUUGUUCACAUUGUGCAAUGUUAUACGUCAGUUACAUCUCAAUAAAACUGGGGAAAAAAGGACAUGAUGUGAUCAGUUGUAUCAGAUGCUGUUAAUAGGUCAAAUAAGAUGAGGGUUAAGAAUAGACUGUUUGCCAUAGUGAAAUGGAAGUCACUGAUGAAAAGUGACUUUUCUAGGUCACUUAGAAAAGGCUAGUGUUGGUAGAGGGAUGCAGGGAAGAGCCUGAUUGGGGUGGGUUUAAGACAUAAUGAGAAGAGAAGAAUUGAAGAUAAGUAUAGAUGAUUCUUUAAUAUAUAUAUAUAUAUAUAUAUAUAUUUAAGUAUAUUAUAUAUAUAUAUAUAUAUAAAAUGGUGAAAUACACUAUUAGUACAUUCACAAUGUUGUAUAACCACCACCACUGUCUACUUACAGAAUAUUUUCGUCACCCUAGAAGGAAACCCCGUACCCAGUAAGCAGUCAUUCCCCGUUCUCCCCUUCCCCUAAUCCUUGUAACCACUAAUCUACUUUGUCUCUGUGGAUUUGCCUGAUUUGGAUAUUUCAUAUAAAUGGACUCAUAAAAUAUGUGGCCUUUUGUUUCUGACCUGUUUCACUUAGCAUAAUAUUUUCAGAGUUCAUCCAUGUUGUACUAUGUAUUGGUACUUCAUUUUUAUGCCUGAAUAAUAUUGCAUCAUAUGGAUAUACUACAUUUUGUUUGUCCAUGCAUCAGUUGAUGGACAUUUUGAGUUGUUUUCACCUUUUGGCUAUUGGGAAUAGUGCCACUAUGAACAUUCAUGUAUACGUUUUUGUUUGAACACUUGUUUUCAGUUCUCUUGGGUCUCCAGGAGUGGAAUUUCUGGGUCAUAUAAUAAUUCUGUAAACUUACUGUGGAACCACCAAACUAAUUUCCACAGUAGCUAUCCCAUUUUAUAUUGUCACCAGUAAUUAUACGUGUUCCAAUUUCUCUGCAUCCUUGUCAGCACUUGUUAUUGUCUGUUAUUGUUUUUGCCAUCCUAGUAGGUGUGAAGUAGUAUCUCAUUCUGGUUCUCAUUUGCGUUUCUCUAAAGACUAAUGAUGUUGAGCAUCUUUUUAUGUCCUUGUUGGCAAUAUGUAUAUCUUCUUCAGAGAAAUGCCUAAUACUUAAAUCCUUUGUCCAAUUUUUAAGUGGUUGUUUCUCUUUCUUGUUGAGUUUUAGAAGUUCUUUAUAUAUUCUGAAUAUUAAACCUUUAUCAGAUAUAUGAUUAACAAAUACUUUCUUCCAUUCUUUGGAUUUUCUUGAUAGUGUUCUUUGAUGCACAGAAUUUUUAAUUUGAUGAAAUCCAAUUUAUCUAUUCUUUCUUUUGUUGCUUGUGCUUUUGAUGUUGUAUCUAACAAACUAUUGCCAAAUCCAAGGUAAUAUUUACCCUCAUAUUUCUUCUAAGAACUUAUGGAUUUAGCUCUUAUAUUUAGGUUUUUGAUCCAUUUUGAGUUCAGUUUUGUAUAUGGUGUGAGAUAGGUAGGCAGUUCUUUAGAUGAGUUUUGCCAAAAAGGAGAGCAGAGAAAUUAAGCAAUAACUGGUAGAGAAAGUGGGGUCAAAGAGGUUUGUUAUUUGUUUUCAGAUAGGAGAGAUAAUGGCAUGGGAAUGGUCAGUAAGAGGGAACAUUGAUGAUACAGGAGAGGUAAGAGUUGCUGGAGCAGUGUCCUUCAGAGACAGAGGUGGAGUAGGAUCUAGAGCACAAAUGGAAGGAUUGGCUGUGGACAGAUGCAUGAAUCAUUCAUCUUAAUAAAAAGAGGGAACACACUGUAUCAGUACAGAUGCUGGGAAGAGAGUAGAUGUGAUGGUGACAUCUGUGAAAGUUCUCUUUUAAUUGCUUUAGUUUUCUUAUUGAAAUGGAGGACAAAGUCAUUAGGAAAGAGUGGGUUAGAGCUGUUGGGAAUAUGAGAAGAGAGGAGAAGGUGGAAUUAUCUUUGUAAGGAGACACAGAGUAUGAACAGACUAGGGAAAUAUAUACUAAUUGCUGGACACUUGAAUAUCAUGAUCAUGUAUUUAAAGUGAGAAUAGUUAGUGCGGGUAAAUGUUUUCCUCCAGAGCAGUUGCUCAGUAAGGCCAGAGUAAGUGCAGGUGGAGAGUUGGGUAUUUCCAGGUUUAUGGUUUUGUCUAGUGAGGAUAACUCAUUUGCUUGGGAUUUGAGAUUGAAUACAUGGGAGUGAUUAUGAUUGAUCUUAGAAUUUAACCUGGGUAAGAAGGGAAAAGGCCAUUAAAAUAGUGAGGCAAAGUGAAAAUGUGCUAGGAACAAUGGAUCGAAGGUCUUGGGGGGGAUUGUUGGAGUACUGAAAAGGUAGGAGAUAGUAGUCAGAAUGCAACUGAUGAGUUGUGAUUAUGGAGGGCUUACAGUCUAGCAUAUGACCCUAAGUGCAGGACUGAAGAUGAGAUCACUAGAAGAGAAGAGUUCCAGCAAAUGAGAGGUCUGGGUGUUGGAAGAUCAUCUAUGUGUACGUUAAAAUUGCCAAGAAUUGAGAUGAGUAGGGUUGUAGACAGUGACAGUGUGUAAGAAGUUGAAAUUAUUGAGUAAUGAGUGAAGUGAUCCUUGAGGCUGGUGGAUGAUAACAAAGAUGAGGAAUAAUAGGGGAUAUACAGCCAGAUGACAGGAGAUUCAAAGCUGGAAAUUGUUAAGGUGGGGAGAGGGAGAGUAGUGUGGAAGUACUGAUGAAGAGCAAAGAGGUUAUGUCCCUUCUCAGGGCCUUUAAAUUGUUUGAAGGCUGUGGAAACAAUAGCAGAACAGGCACAAUGGACAGGGCAGAGGGGCAGCAUUUUCCUUAGCGGGAGAGAACCAGGAUUUGUUUUGAACAAGGUGGUGAAAGGAAGGGUUCAGAGAAGAGGUUGAGGUUGUGGGCGAUUUUGCAGCUUGAUUAUAAAUAUUAAGUACCUAGAAGUUAAGGGCUGAGUUACAUUCAUCACUGCAUUCCUUUCAGAGCAGUGCUUUUACAUACUACAUUUUCAAUAAAUGCUUAUGUUCAGUAAAUGAAUACCGAAUGAUUAAGUGGGAAAGAAUUAAGACCUAGAAACAGAAAAUAAUGUUUAUUGAACACCUACUGUGUGCUUGUAAUUAACAAAAAUACAUUCCAAUUAUAAAAGCAUAAAGCAAUGAAAUUGAAAGUCCUCUAGUAUUUUCUUUUAGUGCAGUAGUUUUCAAUCAGUUUAUAAACCUAGGCCUCCCAUCUCAUACUCUAGCUGACAUGAGGAAGAGUCAUCCUUCUAAGAAAGGAGAAUACUUAAACCUUUUAAAAUAAGGAGACCAAUAAUAAUAACAACAAAAAUAAUUAUUCAACAACUACCACCAUU